GCCGGGAUAGUCUAGUGGCUAUGACGUCUGCUCUACACGCAGGAGCUUGCGAGUUCGAUCCUCGAUCCUGGUA